rnacentral:lncRNA from 1 species
UUCCUUGAACAGUGUGCACUUGAGGAACGAAUUAAGACCCGUAAACAAGGAUGAAAGCCCCCGCCCCGCAGACUUCAGCUCCUCCUCCAUGAAGGACGCCGCCUGGGAGGUGAGUCCAGGCCGGGCCAGGGAGGGCCUCCUGUGGGAAGGUGCAUUUUCACCUUACAGCCGGGAAGUAGACAGCUGCGUCACAGUUUCACUCAUGCCGGUCUCUUCCUGUGCACAUUCAAUGUUAACAUUAUUCUGGCAAAAGCCUUGCUGCAGAUAGUCUCUCCGGUCCCUCCUACAUCUCUUUCCAGAAGACAGUUUAAAAGGACACAUUUCAUCACCUCUCAGAAGGGGUUAACAUCACAGAAUUCCAAGUCUGAGGGUGGAGCCCUGAUCCUGAGAAGGUUUUGUUGAGUUCGGGACAGUAUUUCUUUACCCAUCCUUCAUGAAGAUAAAAAAUGAGGCAAAAUAGACACUAAAAUGGUCUCUGACAUCUCCUCAUGCCACCAGACAAGGAGUAACCAUGGUAACAAGAAGCCUAGAAAAAUUGGGGAAUGAGGAAGACCAGGAAUGAGAGCUCCCCUCAGCCCUGGGGGGACCUGAGUGUCCACAGCUGAGCCUUCUCUGCUUCCCUUUUCUCUUCUGGAUUCUGAUGGAGGAUAUUUUCAUCUUCCUCCCAAAAUCAUCAGAAAGCAUAAGGACAUAUAUAAACCGCUUUGCAAAAAGAGAGUGUAUGGAAUAAAAGAGAAAAUGAAGAAGAGGAGAAAGGCUGGAGUGCAAUGGUGUGAUCUCAGCUCACUGCAGCCUCAACCUCCCUGGCUCAGGUGAUUCUCCCACCUCAGCUUCCUGAUUAACUGGGAUUACAGUAAUGGUGAAAUUGCCGGUAAUCGCUAAGUAAAAACCACUGAAGAACAGGACAGAAGCCAAUGACCACCUCACCUCCACCGAGUGCCCUGCAGGAGCUGGGAGAUGGGAACAUCACUAGACCACGAGCCGGAAUUGCUGCAGGAGGAUUCCCACACUCUGGGCCUCCGUGGGCACCACGAGGACUGGACGUGCGACCCCAGCUCUCUGGGUCUCAGUUUCGUCUCCUGCAGAGCAUCUGAGCUAGACCGUCUCUAAAAUUUCAUCAAGCUCCUGUAUUCCAUUCUAUUCUGAGAUGCCCAAUUCUUAUGCCUGCUAAAAACCACAGUGAGAAAUAAUAACCUAUGUCCACAUUUUUGUUUCCUAGGAGAAAUAUCAACAUGCGUCUGCCAAAUAAAAUAUUGUAUUAAAUGAGUUAUUUCAAAAAGUAUUCUUUGACCACCUCAACAUGUGUUAAAAGGAAUGCCACAUGUUAAAAGGAAUGCCUCAUGUUAC